UAACCCUCACGCAGCCUAGGUUUCUUUUAACUAUUUGCCCGCUGGCAGAGAUACCAGCCAGCGGUCAAAUAGUUAAAAGAAACCUAGGCAGCGUG